ensembl:miRNA Mir698 microRNA 698
UCAUCUCUGCCCUCACUGUAAGGGGGGGGGGUGGCUAUGUGGGUGGGACAGGGAUGUUCAGUUGCUAAAGACAUUCUCCUUUCCUUCCCUCAGUGUCCCCAGAUGGUGA